rnacentral:rRNA from 1 species
UACGGAGGAUGCGAGCGUUAUCCGGAUUUAUUGGGUUUAAAGGGUGCGUAGGCGGCUUAGUAAGUCAGCGGUGAAAUUUUGCAGCUUAACUGUAACAGUGCCGUUGAUACUGCCAGGCUAGGAUUUGGUUGCUGUGGGUGGAAUGUGUGGUGUAGCGGUGAAAUGCUUAGAGAUCACACAGAAUAUCGAUUGCGAAGGCAGCUCACAAAGCCAAGAUUGACGCUGAGGCACGAAAGCGUGGGUAUCAAACA